UUGCCCCUACGGGAGGCAGCAGUGAGGAAUAUUGCGCAAUGGAGGAAACUCUGACGCAGUGACGCCGCGUAUAGGAAGAAGGUUUUCGGAUUGUAAACUAUUGUCGUGAGGGAAGAAAUUGACAGUACCUCGGGAGGAAGCUCCGGCUAACUAUGUGCCAGCAGCCGCGGUAAUACAUAGGGAGCAAGCGUUAUCCGGAUUUAUUGGGUGUAAAGGGUGCGUAGACGGGAAAUUAAGUUAGUUGUGAAAUCCCUCGGCUUAACUGAGGAACUGCAACUAAAACUGGUUUUCUUGAGUACUGGAGA
rnacentral:rRNA from 1 species